rnacentral:pre_miRNA from 10 species
GUUAAGGGGAUUGUUGUCUGGUUCAAGGUCUCCACAUUGUGCAAAAUGUUCAUUCAUGGAGGCACAGGAUGCUUGGUGAUCUCGGACCAGGCUUCAAUCCCUUUAAC